UACCGACUAAUGGAUAAAGUCAUACCGUCAGCGCUAUGCGAACAUGUAAUCGUGUACCUGAAAGAAUUGCUGGUCUGUUUACCUACAUUUUAAGCUCACCUUGAUAUGUUGAGCCAGGUCAGUGCAUGCUUGCAGCGUGCGAAACUAACAAUAAACAAGUUUUGCUAUAGUCAGGCCAGGUAACAAAGAGGAUGCAUCCGAACCGACGAUUCAAAAAUACAGUCGAUACAGGAAUUUCCCCAGACUAUGCGUCGGCUCUUGGGCAUGACUGACUGGUUUAGUAGGUUUAUACAAAACUACGCCCAAACAGCGGCACCGCUUCACGAUUGCUUAAAGAAAGACCGCGUUAAUAAAUGUAAAUUGUCAGAAGAGGCAAUUAAUGCGAUUUCACUACUACUAGCUAGGGAUGGCGGUAGAUGUGCAAAAAGUAGUGAAAGAGUGCGAGGUCUAUAAGAUCAGCAAGACGAACAACAAAAAUAACCGACCACCCAUGGAAGAACAGCGAGUCACGGAACGGGCUGGCCAGAGCUAAGCCGAUGAGAGAUGCAGUGUCCGCUGAGGUAAUCAAAUUCCUCGAAACAAAAAUUUAACAUCAGCACGGGAACGGAAAACAGUUUGUGUCUCAAUGCCAAGCUAGGGCCGAAUCGAAUUCGCUGUGUUGUACUCCAGCUUAAAGGCAAAGUGCUAUAUGACCAGGGAAAUGCAGUGGGAAGAAGUUUCGGGGAUUUUCAUGCCAAAGACGUGUAUAUCGCUUAAUCCCCUAAACGUCAUUCUACGACUCCAAAAGAACUGAGGAUUGCACAAAAACGGCGCAGUCCCGAUCACAGGAUGGGUGGAACUUGGAAUCAGACCGAGUUCUAUUCCCCUAUAUAGGCUUCAACAAGAUGCCGAUACCUCACCAGACCCGAUGCAGCCCCUCGAAAGGUACAACCAGAUUGUUGAAGCUGCUCGCCAGCUUUGUAGACUUAGGUGAAGGUACCAGUAUCUGGCGCAUCUACCGGUAUGGCUCAAAGGGCUCCAGAGGAGCUUUCAGCUGGACGAGGAGAGUAUCCAGCAACGCCGGAUACAACUCCUUACAGAAGCACAGUAUAAAAGGGAUGGGGAUCCGCAAUAUAAGACGCGUCCGGAAACGGACGAAUAAUCAGAGGAGGGAGAGGAGACAGUUGAUCCGAGUCUAGUAGCAGCUGACUACAACCCGGAGAUCCACACCUACAUCACACUAAGCUUUAUGACCUUAGCAUGUAUCCUGAAACAGAAUAAUAUGUUGCUGCAAAGGGGUCGUGCCGCUCGCACAUCAACUUAUAAAUGUUCUGAUAUCGAAUUUGUGACGAAAACUUCAUAUAUUUUCGACUGAAUAAAUGCACUUUCUUAAAUGUU